rnacentral:rRNA from 1 species
GUUCCCAUCUCGAACACAGUAGUUAAGCUCGUAAACGCCGAAAGUACUUGGCUGGAGACGGCCUGGGAGGAUAGGAAGUCGCUGAUU